rnacentral:rRNA from 1 species
GGGUAACGGCCCACCUAGUCGACGAUCGGUAGCCGGACUGAGAGGUUGAUCGGCCACAUUGGGACUGAGACACGGCCCAGACUCCUACGGGAGGCAGCAGUGAGGGAUAUUCGGCAAUGGGGGAAACCCUGACCGAGCAACGCCGCGUGAGGGAAGACGGUUUUCGGAUUGUAAACCUCUGUCCUCUGUGAAGAUAGUGACGGUAGCAGAGGAGGAAGCUCCGGCUAACUAC